GACGAACGCUGGCGGCGUGCCUAAUACAUGCAAGUCGAACGCUUCUUUCCUCCCGAGUGCUUGCACUCAAUUGGAAAGAGGAGUGGCGGACGGGUGAGUAACACGUGGGUAACCUACCCAUCAGAGGGGGAUAACACUUGGAAACAGGUGCUAAUACCGCAUAACAGUUUAUGCCGCAUGGCAUAAGAGUGAAAGGCGCUUUCGGGUGUCGCUGAUGGAUGGACCCGCGGUGCAUUAGCUAGUUGGUGAGGUAACGGCUCACCAAGGCCACGAUGCAUAGCCGACCUGAGAGGGUGAUCGGCCACACUGGGACUGAGACACGGCCCAGACUCCUACGGGAGGCAGCAGUAGGGAAUCUUCGGCAAUGGACGAAAGUCUGACCGAGCAACGCCGCGUGAGUGAAGAAGGUUUUCGGAUCAUAAAACUCUGUUGUUAGAGAAGAACAAGGACGUUAGUAACUGAACGUCCCCUGACGGUAUCUAACCAGAAAGCCACGGCUAACUACGU
rnacentral:rRNA from 1 species